rnacentral:tRNA from 2 species
GCGGGUUUAGCUCAGUUGGGAGAGCGUCAGACUGAAGUCAAACUUCAAUCACUAUCAAUUGAUAUCUGAAGGUCGUGUGUUCGAUCCACACAAACCGCA